GACGAACGCUGGCGGCGUGCUUAACACAUGCAAGUCGAACGGAAAGGCCCUGCUUUUGUGGGGUGCUCGAGUGGCGAACGGGUGAGUAACACGUGAGUAACCUGCCCUUGACUUUGGGAUAACUUCAGGAAACUGGGGCUAAUACCGGAUAGGAGCUCCUGCUGCAUGGUGGGGGUUGGAAAGUUUCGGCGGUUGGGGAUGGACUCGCGGCUUAUCAGCUUGUUGGUGGGGUAGUGGCUUACCCAGGCUUUGACGGAUAGCCGGCCUGAGAGGGUGAACGGCGACCAUGGGACUAAGAGACGGCGCAGACUCCUAUGGGAGGCAGCAGUGGGGAGUAUUGCACAAUGGGCGGAAGUCUGAUGCAGAAACGUCGCGUGCGGGAUGACGGCCUUCGGGUUGUAAACCGCUUUCGCCUGUGACGAAGCGGGAGUGACGGUAAUGGGUAAAGAAGCACCGGCUAACUACGUG
rnacentral:rRNA from 1 species